rnacentral:lncRNA from 1 species
UAGUGGUAUGAGUAGUUCUUUGACCUAUGAGUGUCUCAGUUGCUCAUAAUGGGAUUGCUGUAACUUGACUACACAUAAACAUGGUCUCUUAGUUAUUUCGAUCUUUGUAAUGUAUGUUAGCUAUAGUAGGUUCAUUGUAAGAGUAAGGUGUGCACCUAAAUGGGAUCUAUCGAUCUUAGCAGAUAACGAGUAGUUCUAUAGAAUUUGAGAAGCUGAGUCCAUAAGUUUGUGGCCACAACAAGGUG